rnacentral:rRNA from 1 species
GACGAACGCUGGCGGCGUGCUUAACACAUGCAAGUCGAGCGGUAAGGCCCUUUGGGGUACACGAGCGGCGAACGGGUGAGUAACACGUGAGUAAUCUGCCUUUGGCUUGGGAAUAACUUCGGGAAAUCGGGGCUAAUGCCUGAUGUUUACUGUCUGCUGCAUGGUGGGUGGUGGAAAGAUUUUUUGGCCAGGGAUGAGCUCGCGGUCUAUCAGCUUGUUGGUGGGGUAAUGGCUACCAAGGCUUUGACGGGUAGCCGGCCUGAGAGGGUGUUCGGCCACACUGGGACUGAGACACGGCCCAGACUCCUACGGGAGGCAGCAGGUGGGGAAUAUUGCGCAAUGGGCGUAAGCCUGACGCAGCGACGCCGCGUGGGGAUGAA